rnacentral:rRNA from 1 species
GACGAACGCUGGCGGCGUGCCUAAUACAUGCAAGUCGAACGCAGUGGGGACGGGUGAGUAACACGUGGGUAACCUCCCAUCAGACGGUAUAACACUUGGUAACAGGUGCUAAACCGCUACUGAUGGAUGGAUCCGCGGUGCAUUAGCUGGUUGGUGAGGUAACGGCUCACCAAGGCCACGAUGCAUAGCCGGUCUGAGAGGUGGAUCGGCCACACUGGGACUGAGACACGGCCCAAACUCCUACGGGAGGCAGCAGUAGGGAAUCUUCGACAAUGGACGAAAGUCUGACGGAGCAACGCCGCGUGAGUGAAGAAGGUUUUCGGAUCGUAAAGCUCUGUUGUUAGAGAAGCGGUAUCUAACCAGAAAGCCACGGCUAACUACGUGCCAGCAGCCGCGGUAAUUC